rnacentral:rRNA from 1 species
AUUGAACGCUGGCGGCAUGCUUUACACAUGCAAGUCGAACGGUAACAGGCCGCAAGGUGCUGACGAGUGGCGAACGGGUGAGUAAUGCAUCGGAACGUGCCCAGUCGUGGGGGAUAACGCAGCGAAAGCAGCGCUAAUACCGCAUACGAUCUAUGGAUGAAAGAGGGGGACCGUAAGGCCUCGCGCGAUUGGAGCGGCCGAUGUCAGAUUAGGUAGUUGGUGGGGUAAAGGCUCACCAAGCCGACGAUCUGUAGCUGGUCUGAGGGGACGACCGGCCACACUGGGACUGAGACACGGCCCAGACUCCUACGGGAGGCAGCAGUGGGGAAUUUUGGACAAUGGGCGCAAGCCUGAUCCAGCAAUGCCGCGUGCAGGAAGAAGGACUUCGGAUUGUAAAGUACUUUUGGGCGGAACGAAACGGCUUUGGUUAAUACCUGGGGCUAAUGACGUUACCGUAAGAAUAAGCACCGGCUAACUACGUGCCAGCAGCCGCCGUAAUAC